UACGUAGGGUGCAAGCGUUGUCCGGAAUUAUUGGGCGUAAAGAGCUCGUAGGCGGUCUGUCGCGUCUGCUGUGAAAACCUAGGGCUUAACUCUGGGCGUGCAGUGGGUACGGGCAGGCUAGAGUGAUGUAGGGGAGACUGGAAUUCCUGGUGUAGCGGUGAAAUGCGCAGAUAUCAGGAGGAACACCGAUGGCGAAGGCAGGUCUCUGGGCAUUAACUGACGCUGGAGGAGCGAAAAGCAUGGGGAGCGAACAGG
rnacentral:rRNA from 1 species